UAAUUACGAAUGAAGGGACGAUGGGUGGCCGAUGAUUAACUAAUCUUAUUUUUAUGCAUGAAAUUUAGAAUUUCAUUGAAUUAAAAAAUAGGAUUAGUCUGCCCGUUUUCCAUAACAUAAACUUUAGUCAGGUACUUAAGUAUGUUUAUUUUUCACUUUAAGAAUGUGCAUAUUCGCUGUUUUGAAGUGAGAGUCUCAGCAUACUGUAGUACAGGAUAACACAUCUAGCUAUGAAAAAUAGCUUAUUUGUGUACAGUUUUUUGCGACUAAUCCUUCCAAAAUAAAUUGGAGGGAUUUUUUU
rnacentral:sRNA from 1 species